rnacentral:misc_RNA from 1 species
GAUGAAGAACGUAGCGAAAUGCGAUAAGUAGUGUGAAUUGCAGAAUUCAGUGAAUCAUCGAAUCUUUGAACGCACAUUGCGCCCCUUGGUAUUCCGGGGGGCAUAUCUGUUCGAGCGUCUCCAGGACGAAUCCUCGCGCGAGUGAACGCGCGGUCGUGGCGGAGGUGGCGUGCCCGAGCAGGGCGGCCACCGCGCUGGAAUCCAUGGGCGGACGCCUGCCGCGUGGCCGAGCGUGAUAUGACGCAUUGGCGCUCGUGCGCGGCGAGGCUGCCAGCCCUGGCCCGUCUGUCGGGCGGGGUAGAUCAACACGUGGGAACUCCUCGAAUCAGGUAGGGAUACCCGCUGAACUUAAGCAUAUCAAUAAGCGGAGGA